rnacentral:rRNA from 1 species
GUGCAUGGUUGUCGUCAGCUCGUGUCGUGAGAUGUUGGGUUAAGUCCCGCAACGAGCGCAACCCUUAUUCUAAGUAGCCAGCGGUUCGGCCGGGAACUCUUGGGAGACUGCCAGGGAUAACCUGGAGGAAGGUGGGGAUGACGUCAAAUCAUCAUGCCCCUUAUGAUCUGGGCUACACACGUGCUACAAUGGCGUAAACAAAGAGAAGCAAGACCGCGAGGUGGAGCAAAUCUCAAAAAUAACGUCUCAGUUCGGACUGCAGGCUGCAACUCGCCUGCACGAAGCUGGAAUCGCUAGUAAUCGCGAAUCAGAAUGUCGCGGUGAAUACGUUCCCGGGUCUUGUACACACCGCCCGUCACACCAUGGGAGUCAGUAACGCCCGAAGUCAGUGACCCAACCGCAAGGAGGGAGCUGCCGAAGGCGGGACCGAUAACUGGGGUGAAGUCGUAACAAGGUAGCCGUAUCGGAAGGUGCGGCUGGAUCACCUC